rnacentral:lncRNA from 1 species
UUCUAUUUAUAACGCGCAGACGAGGCUGGCACCGUUUGGACUCUUUACUCUCGAAAGCCGGGCCGGCCGCCUUGUCUCAGAGAUGCGGCUGAUAAACGGGUGUCUGUCAGCAGUAACUGGCGGAGAGCCUGCCAAAACGAUACGAUAAGGUCCCACGUACGUCCUGCUUGACAGAACUGAGAGAACAAACAACACGAAGGGCAUCGGUUCCACUACAGCGAGGAGCCGCGGCAGCUGUGGUGCACGUGGAAACGCAGCAAGUUCAUGGAGUUUGCUCCUGGCUGUCCACAAUCCCACAGGAUCCAGCAAACAGUCACUAGCAGUGUCAUAGAGACGUUUCUGUUUGUUUCAAGCAUGUAAUAAGUACUCACACCUCCUACGUAGCCAAGACACCACAGCAAUGCAAUGCCUUGCUGCUAACCCAGACACAAAUUGGUCAGGAAGCCUUGAGAAUCAUCGGUGUUUUUGCUUGUACCUCUUCAGAGAAGGGCUGCAGUCCUGGAGAACUCAGCUUCACAGUUUAAUGUUGUUGAGUCAGAUGCCACGUAGAAAGAUUUACACCUAAUAAAAGUGCCUGAUGAGUAAAUAGGGAGUAAAUACGAAACAAAACACAGAAUAUGUAAUGAAAACAAUGAAAAUAUUUUUUGAGAUGCAUGCGAUGGAGUCGGUCAAUUCCUGAAUUAGAUAGAAGCUGAGGGAUUCCCUUUCUUGAGUUACACACUGACUUCUUGGAUCAUGAUCCUGAAGUAGUGACUGAAUGUCCCAGAGCUGCUUUCAAAACAUUGAGGCUUUUUUUGAAGUAGCAAAAAAGGAUGGCAAAUCUUAAUGAAGCCACGCAUUGCCCAUGAAGUGGGACAAGGAUAAGGCUCAGUACCGUGGGGGUGGAUGCUGCAGCUGCUCAACAGCAUGAAGCAGCAGCUUAGGGUAAUGUUGUACAUAGCUAAACCUGGAGGGACAGUUCAGAGACACUAAGAAAUGUAAUUUGGAGCUCAAACAGGGCCUUAGGGUUAUCGUAUCUGCACCCAUAGAAGAGGUCAAUAUGUAAUAACAAAUCUCAGUACUUAAGCCUCACUUCUGUUUUAAGCCAGCCUCUGGCAGGAGAAUAUCACCUAACACUUUUCCCAGAGGACUAAUAAAUACUAAAUCAAGAAGUGUUGCUUGCCAAGUCCCCAGUACUACUAGCACCCACUGGACAGUCUUGCUCUUUAUUCCACCUUGACCAAUACAGCCCAAGUUUGGUCAUGCUGUAAAGCAUGUCCCAAGAAGAGGCACGUCUUAGGUACUGGUGACAGGAAGGGCACUGUUCUUCCGGGCCUAAGCACAGCUGUUUGGCUGUGUACCUGCCUGGACUCCAAUAGGAUUCAGUCAUCCGUAGCUUACUUCCUUAACUUCCCUUUGGUAGAGAGCAAUCUAAUACUCUUAUAGGACAAAUGAGGAAGUGAAACAGACAUUGUUUGCUCGCCUAAAGUCUAACGCAAAGCAAACUGAACUUUUAUCCAAACCACUAAAAACAAAAUUCCCUGUAUUCCAGCAGAGUAGCCUGCCUCCUACCAGGCUACGAAUGGGCUCCCAGAGUGGCUUCUGUGGGUAGACACCAAGGCCUAGGUCCCAGGAAGGACCCAGUUAGCAGCUGCCUUAUUUAUCCUGGGGGAGGAACUGCGAAGCAGUAGCCCCCAGGAAACAGAAAGUGCACAAGUGACAAUGUUGCACCAAAAAGAUGUGAAGGUUCACAGUACCUUGUACAGUCAACUCCUUCAGGAAAUACAAAGGUCACAUUCAGCCUGCAGUCCCUUCAUCCAGUGUCAUCCAACAGUUUUGUGGCACCUCUUGCCGGAACAGGAAAGCAGCCACGACCCUGAGCAGCUUUCCCCUGUCAAUAUGCAUCCCACUCUCAUUUAGCAGGCUUCGUUUGCUGUUGGCUCAAACCUAUCAGACAUAAGGCUCACCAAAAGCAUCACGUCUCCAGUCUGACUACUGGAGAUGGAAUUGUCCCUUGGCACAGAUAAAGCUGACUAAGGUGCCCUAAGGUGCAGUAUCAGCAAGGCCUUUUUGUGUGUGGAACUGGACUGGUUUUUACACCCUUCAUAGGAUGCCAUUCUUCUGUUAGUAUCAUCUUUGUGCUCAUCUCAUACAGCCUGAGGUACAAUCAAGUACAGUCAUACUCAUUGCAUAUGAAUUCAGUAAAGUUUGAAUCAACCUCAGCUGAAACGUACAAAAGCACUCCCGUUGGCUUCAAGUAACAUUUUUUUUUUCUUCUAUAAUCAGCAGAGAGUAUUUGUCUCAAACCGAUUCCCAGCUGAUGCCCACAGAUUUCAGACCUUUCCUUUUGGAACAAAAUACAGCAUGAACAAAACGCUGUACAAAAGAGCGACCGAUCUUCAAAACCUGCUUAGAGAAGCAGCUCCAUGCUGUGAAGUCUGUACAUACAGCAACACUGAGAGGGUGAAUGACGUGCCCAAGCUAAUCAGUAAACAAGCCUAAGAGCCGGGUGUCUCUCCAGGCCAGCUUCUCCACGAGGCGGCACCUGGAGGAGAGCCGACCCUUCUGAGAAGAGCCCGGUCCUGCUGAACUGUGUGCCAUCGCCUCCGAAUAGUAUUUUGCAAAAAAAAUAUCCGCACGGACCGUUCUGUGCGAGCUUUUUUUGUAAUGUAAAUAACUAUUUUGAAAGUUAUUUUUACAAAGCAGACCCCGCUGCUACCUCGCAGCACAAAUGCGGUGCUUACUGCUCGUUUUCAAACCGCGUAUUACUGCAAGGGCUUAGGAAGGACAAAACGAGCAUCCGAACGGAGGACGUGGUUUGCCUUAGCUCUGAAGCCGGCUGUACCUGCCGAAGCUCUCGCACAAAUCUCACCGGCAAAAAAACCGCCUCUUGUCUGAUCAUUCUGUGCCGACGUUUGCCACCGCGAGAGGCUGAAUGAGCUGACUUUGUGUCACUACAAUGGUAUUGUAAUCAGCAUGGCACUCACACGUGACUUGGAUUACUGGUAUUCCUAAACCAAGUAGCAUUCUUUCAGCACUGUUUGCCUAAGAGUAUACAAAAUGCAAUUCCCUUUUGGCCAAGGACUUUAAUGAGGGAUUUUCCAGCGUUUGGGGAAGUGUGUGGCUUUUUACUGGAACAGGAGAUUUAAAUUGAAUCUAAGCAAUGCCCGUGACACGAAAUCCUGCCUUAUCUUCACAAGAGUUAGAUUCAGUUUCGAAUUCUGCCGGUCGGGGACACGUUUGUACUCUGGAGCCGAGCCGCCUUACGAGCUCCCUAAGAGCAGCCACCGCGAUGUGUCACGACGCGCGGCUCCGCCGGCGUCACCGUCCUUUUCUCGAGCACCUAUUUUCCCCCGUUCCUCCCCCGGAGGAAGGAGCCCAGCCUCUCGUUCGGUGCACUUCUGCUUCGCAGCACGGCCCGCGGGGCAGGCAGCGCGACGGCGGCUCGGCGGGGACGGGGCAAAGCCCGAGGCCGUCCG